CCCAGACUCCUACGGGAGGCAGCAGUGGGGGAUAUUGCACAAUGGGGGGAACCCUGAUGCAGCGACGCCGCGUGGGUGAAGGAGCGUUUCGGCGCGUAAAGCCCUAUCGGCAGGGAAGAAGGAGGACGGUACCUGACUAAGAAGCCCCGGCUAACUACGUGCCAGCAGCCGCGGUAAUACGUAGGGGGCAAGCGUUAUCCGGAUUUACUGGGUGUAAAGGGGGCGCAGACGGCAGCGCAAGCCAGGAGUGAAAGCCCGGGGCCCAACCCCGGGACUGCUCUUGGAACUGCGCGGCUGGAGUGCAGGAGGGGCAGGCGGAAUUCCUGGUGUAGCGGUGAAAUGCGUAGAUAUCAGGAGGAACACCGGUGGCGAAGGCGGCCUGCUGGACUGCGACUGACGUUGAGGCUCGAAAGCGUGGGGAGCAAACAGGAUUAGAUACCCUGGUA
rnacentral:rRNA from 1 species